UCCCUGGUGGUCCAGUGGUUAAGAUCCUGCAUUCCUAAUGCAGGGGGCCCUGGUUUGAUACCUGGUCAGGGAG